rnacentral:rRNA from 1 species
CUGCUCAGGAUGAACGCUGGCGGCGUGCCUAAUACAUGCAAGUCGAACGCACAGCGAAAGGUGCUUGCACCUUUCAAGUGAGUGGCGAACGGGUGAGUAACACGUGGACAACCUGCCUCAAGGCUGGGGAUAACAUUUGGAAACAGAUGCUAAUACCGAAUAAAACUUAGUGUCGCAUGACAUAAAGUUAAAAGGCGCUUCGGCGUCACCUAGAGAUGGAUCCGCGGUGCAUUAGUUAGUUGGUGGGGUAAAGGCCUACCAAGACAAUGAUGCAUAGCCGAGUUGAGAGACUGAUCGGCCACAUUGGGACUGAGACACGGCCCAAACUCCUACGGGAGGCUGCAGUAGGGAAUCUUCCACAAUGGGCGAAAGCCUGAUGGAGCAACGCCGCGUGUGUGAUGAAGGCUUUCGGGUCGUAAAGCACUGUUGUAUGGGAAGAACAGCUAGAAUAGGAAAUGAUUUUAGUUUGACGGUACCAUACCAGAAAGGGACGGCUAAAUACGUGCCAGCAGCCGCGGUAAUACGUAUGUCCCGAGCGUUAUCCGGAUUUAUUGGGCGUAAAGCGAGCGCAGACGGUUUAUUAAGUCUGAUGUGAAAGCCCGGAGCUCAACUCCGGAAUGGCAUUGGAAACUGGUUAACUUGAGUGCAGUAGAGGUAAGUGGAACUCCCAUGUGUAGCGGUGGAAUGCGUAGAUAUAUGGAAGAACACCAGUGGCGAAGGCGGCUUAUCUGGACUGCAACUGACGUGAGGCUC